rnacentral:SRP_RNA from 1 species
GCCGGGCAUAGUGGUGCAUGCCUGUAGUCCCAGCUACUGAGGAGGCUGAGGUGGAAGGAUUGCUUGAGCCCAGGAUAUUGAGGCUGCAAUGAGCUGUGAUCGUGCCACUGCACUCUAGCCUGGGCGACAAAGCCAGACCCUGUCUCAA